GACCUCACAAUGGCAGCACAUGUACCAAAACAGGACUGAUACAGAGAUGGUUAAUGUGACCCUGUGUAAGGAUGCCAAGCAAUUUAUGAACUAUUUCAUAUUUUA
ensembl:snRNA Gm27297 predicted gene, 27297